rnacentral:rRNA from 1 species
CAGCAGCAGCCACGGGAAUACAGAGGGUGCGAGCGUUAAUCGGAUUUACUGGGCGUAAAGCGUGCGUAGGCGGCUUCUUAAGUCGGAUGUGAAAUCCCUGAGCUUAACUUAGGAAUUGCAUUCGAUACUGGGAAGCUAGAGUAUGGGAGAGGAUGGUAGAAUUCCAGGUGUAGCGGUGAAAUGCGUAGAGAUCUGGAGGAAUACCGAUGGCGAAGGCAGCCAUCUGGCCUAAUACUGACGCUGAGGUACGAAAGCAUGGGGAGCAAACAGGAUUAGAUACCCCUGUAGUCCCUGUCUCUUAUAC